rnacentral:rRNA from 1 species
CCAGAGAUGGAUUGGUGCCUUCGGGAACUCUGACACAGGUGCUGCAUGGCUGUCGUCAGCUCGUGUCGUGAGAUGUUGGGUUAAGUCCCGUAACGAGCGCAACCCUUGUCCUUAGUUACCAGCACGGUUAUGGUGGGCACUCUAAGGAGGACUGCCGGUGACAAACCGGAGGAAGGUGGGGAGUGACGUCAAGUCAUCAUGGCCCUUACGGCCUGGGCUACACACGUGCUACAAUGGUCGGUACAAAGGGUUGCCAAGCCGCGAGGUGGAGCUAAUCCCAUAAAACCGAUCGUAGUCCGGAUCGCAGUCUGCAACUCGACUGCGUGAAGUCGGAAUCGCUAGUAAUCGUGAAUCAGAAUGUCACGGUGAAUACGUUCCCGGGCCUU